AUGCAAGUCGAGGGGUAACAGUAUGUAGCAAUACAUAGCUGACGACCGGCAGAUGGGUGAGUAACGCGUAUGCAACCUACCUUAUACAAAGGGAUAGCCCGAAGAAAUUCGGAUUAAUACCAUAUAAUAUAUCUCCUUCACAUGAAAGAGAUAUGGAAGUCGCAAGACGGUAAAAGAUGGGCAUGCGUGGCAUUAGCAGGAUGGUGAGGUAACGGCUCACCAAAGCAGCGAUGCCUAGGGGUUCUGAGAGGAAGAUCCCCCACAUUGGAACUGAGAAACGGACCAAACUCCUACGGGAGGCAGCAGUGAGGAAUAUUGGUCAAUGGGCGCAAGCCUGAACCAGCCAUCCCGCGUGAAGGAAGACGGCUCUAUGAGUCUUAAACUUCUUUUAUGCAAGAGGAAAAGCAGUUAUGUAUAACUGUCGGACAGUAUUGCAGGAAAAAGCAUCGGCUAACUCCGUGCCAGCAGCCGCGGUAAUACGGAGGAUGCGAGCGUUAUUCGGAUUUAUUGGGUUUAAAGGGUACGUAGGCGGUAAGGAAAGUCCGUGGUGAAAUUCUGUUGCUUAACGACAGCGAGCCAAGGAAACUUUUUUACUUGAGUAUAGAUGAGGUAUAUGGAAUGUAUAGUGUAGCGGUGAAAUGCAUAGAUAUUAUACAGAACUCCAAUUGCGAAGGCAGUAUACUAAACUAUUACAGACGCUAAAGUACGAAAGCGUGGGGAGCGAACAGGAUUAGAUACCCUGGUAGUCCACGCCGUAAACGAUGUUCACUAGCUGUUUGCGAUACACAGUAAGCGGCCGAGCGAAAGCGUUAAGUGAAUCACCUGGGGAGUACGCUGGCAACAGUGAAACUCAAAGGAAUUGACGGGGGCCCGCACAAGCGGAGGAACAUGUGGUUUAAUUCGAUGAUACGCGAGGAACCUUACCUGGGCUUAAAUGAAUGAUGACGUACGGUGAAAGCUGUAUUUCUUCGGACAUUGUUCAAGGUGCUGCAUGGUUGUCGUCAGCUCGUGCCGUGAGGUGUCGGGUUAAGUCCCAUAACGAGCGCAACCCUUGUCGAUAGUUACCAUCAAGUAAUGUUGGGGACUCUAUUGAGACUGCCACCGUAAGGUGAGAGGAAGGAGGGGAUGACGUCAAAUCAGCACGGCCCUUAUGUCCAGGGCUACACACGUGUUACAAUGGACGGAACAAAGGGGAGCGACUAUGUGAAUAGGAGCCAAUCCUUAAAUCCGUUCCCAGUCCGGAUCGAAGUCUGCAACCCGACUUCGUGAAGCUGGAUUCGCUAGUAAUCGCGCAUCAGCCAUGGCGCGGUGAAUACGUUCCCGGGCCUUGUACGCACCGCCCGUCAAACCAUGGAAGUUGGGAGUACCUGAAGGCUGUAACCGCAAGGGA
rnacentral:rRNA from 1 species